AAUCGAACCCGGAGAUAGCUGGUUCUCCUCGAAAUAGCUUUAGGGCUAGCCUCGCAUUAGUUUACCGGAGGUAGAGCACUGAAUGGUCUAGGGGGCCUCACCGCCUACCGAAACCUAUCAAACUGCGAAUGCCGGAUAAAUGAUGUGCGGGAGUCAGGCCGCGAGAGAUAAGUUCCGCGGUCAAAAGGGGAACACCCCAGAUCGUCUGCUAAGGUCCCCAAGUACGCGUUAAGUGGGAAAGGAUGUUGGAUUGCACAGACAACCAGGAUGUUGGCUUAGAAGCAGCCACACAUUCAAAGAGUGCGUAAUAGCUCACUGGUCGAGUGAUCCAGCGCCGAAAAUGUAACGGGGCUAAAACGCGACACCGAAGCAGCGGGAUGCGUAAGCAUCGGUAGAGGAGCAUUGUGUGAGGGUCGAAGCCAGAGCGGGAGCACUGGUGGACUUCACAGAAGAGAGAAUGCCGGUAUGAGUAGCGAGACCCAUGCGAGAAACAUGGGCGUCGAAGGCCCAAGGUUUCCUGGGGAAGGUUCAUCCACCCAGGGUAAGUCGGGACCUAAGCCGAGGACUGAGGUCGUAGGCGAUGGACAGCAGGUAGAGAUUCCUGCACCACUUACACUUGUUUGACGAAGCAGUGACACAGAAGGAUAGGACGAGCGCGGUGAUGGUCAACCGCGUAGGCGGCACGAGGCCGGGAAGCAGUGAAGUACACUUCCCGCGAAGGCUGAGUGUUGACAGGACCGAAAAGAAGUAGGGAAGCGUCCGAGUUCACGCUGGCGAGAAAAGCUGCUAAGGAGAGUGUGAGUGCCCGUACCGGAAACCGACGCAGGUGGGCGAGGAGAGAAUCCUGAGACGGACGGGAGAACUCUUGUUAAGGAACUCGGCAAAAUGACCCCGUAACUUCGGGAGAAGGGGUGCCUCGAAAGAGGCCGCAGAGAAUAGUCACAAGCGACUGUUUAGCAAAAACACAGGUAUCUGCGAAAGCGAGAGCUGACGUAUAGGUGCUGACACCUGCCCGGUGCUGGAAGGUUAAGGGGAACUGUUAGAGCAAUCGAAGCAGAGAACCGAAGCCCCAGUAAACGGCGGCCGUAACUAUAACGGUCCUAAGGUAGCGAAAUUCCUUGUCGGGUAAGUUCCGACCCGCACGAAUGGCGUAACGACUUGUGAGCUGUCUCAACAGGAGGCCCGGUGAAAUUGAAGUAUGUGUGAAGAUGCACAUUACCCGCGACUGGACGGAAAGACCCCGUAGAGCUUUACUGUAACCUGACAUUGGAUCUUGAUAACGGAUGCACAGGAUAGGUGGGACGCUGGGAGACGAGGACUUUGGUUUUCGUGGAGCGGCCGUUGGGAUACCACUCUUCUGUUAUUGAGAUUCUAACCUCAAGCCGUGAGCCGGAUGAGAGACAGUGUCAGGCGGACAGUUUGACUGGGGCGGUCGCCUCCGAAAGAGUAACGGAGGCGCCCAAAGGUACCCUCAGAAUGGAUGGAAACCAUUCGAAGAGAGCAAAGUCAGAAGGGUGCUUGACUGCGAGACCAACAAGUCGAGCAGGUACGAAAGUAGGGCUUAGUGAUCCGGCGGUAAGAGAGUGGAAUUGCCGUCGCUCAACGGAUAAAAGCUACCUCGGGGAUAACAGGCUGAUCUCCCCCAAGAGUUCACAUCGACGGGGAGGUUUGGCACCUCGAUGUCGGCUCGUCGCAUCCUGGGGCUGAAGCAGGUCCCAAGGGUUUGGCUGUUCGCCAAUUAAAGCGGCACGCGAGCUGGGUUCAGAACGUCGUGAGACAGUUCGGUCCCUAUCCAUCGUGGGCGAAGGACACAUGAGAGGAGCUGCUCCUAGUACGAGAGGACCGGAGUGGACGCAUCACUGGUGCAACUGUUGUCGUGCCAACGGCACAGCAGGGAAGCGAAAUGCGGACGGGAUAAACGCUGAAGGCAUCUAAGCGUGAAGCCCACCUCAAGAAUAAGUGU
rnacentral:rRNA from 1 species